GGGGACACUGGGAGGAACUGGGAGGGACUGGGAGGGACUGGGAGGCACUGGGAGCAACUGGUGGGGGUUGGGAGGGAAAUGGGAAGGGACUGGGAGCAACUGGUGGGCACUGGGAGGGACUGGGAGGGAGCUUGGGGGCACUGGGAGGGAGCUGGAAGGGACUGGGGGGCACUGGGAGGCACUGGGAGGCACUGGGAGGGAGCUGGAAGGGACUGGUGGGGGUUGGGAGGGAAAUGGGAAGGGACUGGGAGCAACUGGUGGGCACUGGGAGGGAGCUUGGGGGCACUGGGAGGGAGCUGGAAGGGACUGGGAGGCACUGGGAGGGACUGGGAGGCACUGGGAGGGAGCUGGAAGGGACUGGUGGGGGUUGGGAGGGAAAUGGGAAGGGACUGGGAGCAACUGGUGGGCACUGGGAGGGACUGGGAGGGAGCUUGGGGGCACUGGGAGGGAGCUGGAAGGGACUGGGGGGCACUGGGAGGAACUGGGAGGGACUGGGAGGGACUGGGAGGCACUGGGAGCAACUGGGAGCAACUGGUGGGGGUUGGGAGGGAAAUGGGAAGGGACUGGGAGCAACUGGUGGGCACUGGGAGGGACUGGGAGGGGGCUGGGAGCAACUGGUGGGUACUGGGAGGGGACUGGGAGAGACUGGUGGGCACUGGGAGGAAACUGGGAGGGAUUGAGAGUUACUGGUAGAGUACUGGGAUGGCACUGGGGGGCACUGGGAGGCACUGGGAGGCACUGGGUAAGAGCUGGAGGUGAA
ensembl:lncRNA